ACAGAGGCGAGCUGGAGGAGCCGGCCACCAGCACUCCAGCCCCUGGCAGGAGCGGAGGAGGAGUGGAUGCAGCCCAGGUGGGAGGAACUUGGACAGACAGUUGAUGCAGUGUUCAUUUUGUGGCCAGCUUUCCAGUAGACCGUGAGCUCCGCAAGGAUGGAAAACAGAUGUGAUGGCUGGAGCUGGAGUAACCAUCCUUGAUCAUAAAGUGCCCUUGGCAAUGGAGGUCACACAGGGCUUUUCAUCUGUACAAUGGAGAUAAGAAGUGCCUACCCUAUAGAGUUGUCGUGAGGAUUAAAUGAGGUUGUCUAUGGUGCAGACCCAGCACAGCAUCCGGUUCAUGACAAGGAUGGAAGAAAGAAGUGCCUCUGCUCUUUCCUGCCUUUGGGCAUAAGCUGAAGCCCAGGACGGUGAGAGAGGGUAGACUGACCCAUCAUCCUAGAACAAGCUAACAUAUGUCUUAUUAAG